UACGUAGGGUGCAAGCGUUUAAUCGGAAUUAUUGGGCGUAAAGCGCUGGUAGGUGGCUUGUUAAGUCGCGUGUGAAAUCUCCAGGCUCAACCUGGAAAGUGCGCGCGAAACUGCAGAGCUUGAGUACCGGAGAGGAUGGCGGAAAUUCCCCAAGUAGAGGUGAAAUUCGUAGAUAUGGGGAGGAACACCGGUGGCGAAGGCGGCCAUCUGGACGGAUACUGACGCUGAGACGCGAAAAGCGUGGGGAGCAAACAGG
rnacentral:rRNA from 1 species